rnacentral:rRNA from 1 species
UACGGGGGGGGCAAGCGUUGUUCGGAAUUACUGGGCGUAAAGGGCUCGUAGGCGGCUAACUAAGUCAGACGUGAAAUCCCUCGGCUUAACCGGGGAACUGCGUCUGAUACUGGUUGGCUUGAAUCCGGGAGAGGGAUGUGGAAUUCCAGGUGUAGCGGUGAAAUGCGUAGAUAUCUGGAGGAACACCGGUGGCGAAGGCGGCAUCCUGGGCCGGUUAUUGACGCUGAGGAGCGAAAGCCAGGGGAGCAAACGGG